rnacentral:rRNA from 1 species
UACGAAGGGGGCUAGCGUUGUUCGGAAUUACUGGGCGUAAAGCGCACGUAGGCGGAUAUUUAAGUCAGGGGUGAAAUCCCGGGGCUCAACCCCGGAACUGCCUUUGAUACUGGGUAUCUAGAGUCCGGAAGAGGUGAGUGGAAUUCCGAGUGUAGAGGUGAAAUUCGUAGAUAUUCGGAGGAACACCAGUGGCAAGGCGGCUCACUGGUCCGGUACUGACGCUGAGGUGCGAAAGCGUGGGGAGCAAACAGG